UACGGAGGGUGCAAGCGUUAUCCGGAUUCACUGGGUUUAAAGGGUGCGUAGGCGGGCAGGUAAGUCCGUGGUGAAAUCUCUGAGCUUAACUCAGAACCUGCCAUGGAUACUAUUUGUCUUGAAUAUUGUGGAGGUAAGCGGAAUAUGUCAUGUAGCGGUGAAAUGCUUAGAUAUGACAUAGAACACCAAUUGCGAAGGCAGCUUACUACACAGUUAUUGACGCUGAGGCACGAAAGCGUGGGGAUCAAACAGG
rnacentral:rRNA from 1 species